rnacentral:rRNA from 2 species
CUUUNGGUAGUCGAGCGUCGUCUGAUUAUUGAAGGUGCUUGCAUCUUGAUUUUAUUUUGCACGAGGGCCGCACGGGUGAGUNACACGUGGGUAACCUGCCCUUAAGUGGGGGAUAACAUCUGGAAACAGAUGCUAAUACUGCAUAAAUCCAAGAACAGCAUGGUUCUUGGCUGAAAGAUGGCGUAAGCUAUCGCUUUUGGAUGGACCCGCGGCGUAUUAGCUAGUUGGUGAGGUAACGGCUCACCAAGGCAAUGAUACGUAGCCGAACUGAGAGGUUGAUCGGCCACAUUGGGACUGAGACACGGCCCAAACUCCUACGGGAGGCAGCAGUAGGGAAUCUUCCACAAUGGACGCAAGUCUGAUGGAGCAACGCCGCGUGAGUGAAGAAGGCUUUCGGGUCGUAAAACUCUGUUGUUGGAGAAGAAUGGUCGGCAGAGUAACUGUUGUCGGCGUGACGGUAUCCAACCAGAAAGCCACGGCUAACUACGUGCCAGCAGCCGCGGUAAUACGUAGGUGGCAAGCGUUAUCCGGAUUUAUUGGGCGUAAAGCGAGCGCAGGCGGUUUUUUAAGUCAUCGAUGUAAGC